CCUACGGUGGGCUGCAGUGGGGAAUAUUGGGCAAUGGGCGCAAGCCUUACCCAGCAAUACCGCGUGAGUGAAGAAGGUCUUCGGAUUGUAAAGCUCUUUGAUCAGGGACGAACAGAUGACGGUACCUGAAGAACAAGCCCCGGCUAACUACGUGCCAGCAGCCGCGGUAAAACGUAGGGGGCGAGCGUUGUCCAGAAUGACUGGGCGUAAAGGGUGCGUAGGCGGGCGUUCAAGUCAGCUGUAAAAUCGCGCGGCUCAACCGCGCACCGCAGUUGAAACUGGACGCCUUGAGUUCACAACAGGCAGGCGGAAUUCGUGGUGUAGCGGUGAAAUGCAUAGAUAUCACGAGGAACCCCGAUUGCGAAGGCAGCCUGCCGGGGUGCGACUGACGCUGAGGCUCGAAGGUGCGGGUAUCAAACAGGAUUAGAUACCCGAGUAGUC
rnacentral:rRNA from 1 species